UACAGAGGUCUCAAGCGUUGUUCGGAUUCAUUGGGCGUAAAGGGUGCGUAGGUGGCGCGCUAAGUCAGGUGUGAAAUCUCGGGGCUUAACUCCGAAACUGCAUUUGAUACUGGCGUGCUUGAGGACUGGAGAGGAGACUGGAAUUCAUGGUGUAGCAGUGAAAUGCGUAGAGAUCAUGAGGAAGACCAGUGGCGAAGGCGGGUCUCUGGGCAUUAACUGACGCUGAGGAGCGAAAGCAUGGGGAGCGAACAGG
rnacentral:rRNA from 1 species